UUAGUACUUCCUCCGUCUCAUAUUAAGUGACUUUCUAUUACAUGUAUCUAGACGUAUUUUAGUAUAUAGAUACGUCCAUAUUUAGACAAAAUUGAGUCACUUAAUAUGGGACGGAGGGAGUACAUU
rnacentral:pre_miRNA from 1 species